rnacentral:snoRNA from 1 species
UGUCCCUAUGAUUAAACCUGACACAGUCAGCUGACCCUCUGGGGCCUGAGGACAUGUCCUGCAAUUAUGAUGGGACA